rnacentral:rRNA from 1 species
UACGGAGGGUGCAAGCGUUAUCCGGAUUCACUGGGUUUAAAGGGUGCGUAGGCGGGCAGGUAAGUCCGUGGUGAAAUCUCUGAGCCUAACUCAGAAACUGCCAUGGAUACUAUUUGUCUUGAAUAUUGUGGAGGUAAGCGGAAUAUGUCAUGUAGCGGUGAAAUGACUUAGAUAUGACAUAGAACACCAAUUGCGAAGGCAGCUUACUACACAGUUAUUGACGCUGAGGCACGAAAGCGUGGGGAUCAAACAGG